CACGACAGUGACGUCACAGGCGCGCCAAGGCCUCGCGGACGGUGGCCGGCGCGGCUCAGUAAGGCCCGCGGACUCGGCGAACUGUGUGGAAGGAGCGGGAUGUGUAGAGCUCAGCAGCGGCGAGGUACAAAACAAAGAAUCGCUUUGCACAAAGCCAGAAGGGCUAUGCUGAAAGAAUGAUCAGAAAAGAAUAAUACAUAGCAGGCCCACUGCUAGGCCUCUCACCUGAGAAGUCCUGAAUCGGGAAGACACAGGCUGUAUCAGUUGCACUGCGGCCUUAUUCACAAUAGCCAAGAUGGUGAAGCAACCCAAAUGUCCA